ensembl:snRNA U4 U4 spliceosomal RNA
AGCUGUGCACAGUGGGAGUAGUGUAGCUAAUGAGGUUUAUCUAAGGCACAAUUGUUGCUAAUUGGAAACUUUUCCUAAUACUUCAUUAUUACAACCUAUAAUAUGGUCCACACUGGCAAUUUUUGAUGGUUUCUAUGGAGA